rnacentral:rRNA from 1 species
UACGUAGGUGGCAAGCGUUGUCCGGAAUUAUUGGGCGUAAAGCGCGCGCAGGCGGCCUCUUAAGUCUGAUGUGAAAGCCCCCGGCUCAACCGGGGAGGGCCAUUGGAAACUGGGAGGCUUGAGUAUAGGAGAGAAGAGUGGAAUUCCACGUGUAGCGGUGAAAUGCGUAGAGAUGUGGAGGAACGCCAGUGGCGAAGGCGACUCUUUGGCCUAUAACUGACGCUGAGGCGCGAAAGUGUGGGGAGCAAACAGG